GCCUUGUUAGCUCAGUGGAUAGAGCGUCCGGCUACGGACCGGAAGGCCAGGGGUUCGAAUCCUCUACAGGGCGC
rnacentral:tRNA from 1 species